rnacentral:misc_RNA from 1 species
GUGUUGAGUAUAUUUGUUUUUCUGCUUACAAAAGGGAGGGGAGCUCAUUAAGUUUCUUUCCUCUUAUCAUUAUUAUUAUUAGUCCAGAGAUUUCUCAAAGCUACAAGACAUGGGCUUCAUCACUUGUGUCAUGGGCUCUCAUAAAUUGGGUUAAUGGGCUGAGUAUUACAACAUCCAUGGUGUAGAUCUCCUGCUACCACCAAAUCAACAACUCA